rnacentral:rRNA from 1 species
CCUACGGGAGGCAGCAGUGAGGAAUAUUGCGCAAUGGGGGAAACCCUGACGCAGCGACGCCGCGUGAGUGAGGAAGGUUUUCGGAUCGUAAAGCUCUGUCAGAAGGGAAGAAAUGCUGCAUGGUUAAUACCCAUGCAGUUUGACGGUACCUUCAGAGGAAGCACCGGCUAACUCCGUGCCAGCAGCCGCGGUAAUACGGAGGGUGCAAGCGUUGUUCGGAAUUACUGGGCGUAAAGGGCGCGCAGGCGGCCUGAUAAGUCAGAUGUGAAAGUCCAUGGCUCAACCGUGGAAGUGCAUUUGAAACUGUCUGGCUUGAGUAUCGGAGGGGAGUGUGGAAUUCCCGGUGUAGAGGUGAAAUUCGUAGAGAUCGGGAGGAACACCGGUGGCGAAGGCGACACUCUGGACGAAUACUGACGCUGAGGCGCGAAAGCGUGGGGAGCAAACAGGAUUAGAUACCCUGGUAGUCCACGCCGUAAACGAUGUGAACUAGAGGUAGGCGGUGUUGAUCCCGCCUGUCUCGCAGCUAACGCAUUAAGUUCACCGCCUGGGGAGUACGGUCGCAAGAUUAAAACUCAAAGGAAUUGACGG